UACGUAGGUGGCGAGCGUUAUCCGGAAUUACUGGGCGUAAAGGGCGCGUAGGCGGUUAUCCAAGUCAGGGGUGAAAACCUUGGGCUCAACUCAGGGCCUGCCUCUGAAACUGGGUAACUUGAGGGCAGGAGAGGGGAGUGGAAUUCCCAGUGUAGCGGUGAAAUGCGUAGAUAUUGGGAGGAACACCAGUGGCGAAGGCGGCUCUCUGGCCUAACCCUGACGCUGAGGCGCGAAAGCGUGGGGAUCAAACAGGAUUAGAUACCCGCGUAGUCCCUGAGCGGG
rnacentral:rRNA from 1 species